UAAUACUGGAUACGAGCUGCGAAGGCAUCUUCAGCAGCUGGAAAGAACUUCGGUCAGGGAUGAGCUCGCGGCCUAUCAGCUUGUUGGUGANNUAACGGCUCACCAAGGCGUCGACGGGUAGCCGGCCUGAGAGGGUGACCGGCCACACUGGGACUGAGACACGGCCCAGACUCCUACGGGAGGCAGCAGUGNGGAAUAUUGCACAAUGGGCGAAAGCCUGAUGCAGCAACGCCGCGUGAGGGACGACGGCCUUCGGGUUGUAAACCUCUUUUAGCAGGGAAGAAGCGAAAGUGACGGUACCUGCAGAAAAAGCGCCGGCUAACUACGUGCCAGCAGCCGCGGUAAUACGUAGGGCGCAAGCGUUAUCCGGAAUUAUUG
rnacentral:rRNA from 1 species